AAAUUUCCAAAUUGUUAAGUUCAUUCCAAAAAUAUCUUAACAAAAUUUCAUUCAAACUCAUUCCAACAUUUUCAACAAUAAACUCCAACAUUUUUUAAUUCCAACAAGAAAAUGAAGUCAUUCCAAAAAAUUAUUUCAAUAAAGUCUCCAAAUACAUUCCAAAUUCAUAACCAUAUUUCAAAAGCCCAUUCCACAUGAAAUUAUUCACAAAAUAACAACAAAAAUAGUGUGAUUAUUGAACCAAAAAGAGUGAUUUACAAAAUAGUGAUUCAAGUCUAAA
rnacentral:lncRNA from 1 species